rnacentral:rRNA from 1 species
GGCUAUAGCUACAUCACCUUGACUGUGCCUGCUAACAUCUGAUCAGAAGCUAAGCACGGCCAAGCCUGGUUAGUACUCAGAUGGGGAUGGUACCAUGGAAACCAUGCUAAGAGGAAGGGAUCCAUGGCGCUCAGUCU